AUGCCCUUUAAAACCCCCGACGAAUACCUCAAGCUAGGUGACUCCUUUUCUAUAGCAAAGAGGCGUUUCUUAUCGCUAGAAAACAAACUUCAGAAAAACCCCAAUCUGUUGAAAGAUUAUCAAGAAUUUAUUAAUGAUUAUGUAGCUCAAGGUCACGCUCGACCCAUACCCCUAACCCUUACGAAUUCGCUCUCGCAGAACAAGUAUUUCGUUCCCCACCUGGCCGUCAUUAGAAGCGACCACGUUACGACAAAAACUCGAGUCGUGUACGAUUUCUCUUGUCCCAGCAGCUCGAAGCUCUCUUUCAAUGAUAUAGCACUUAAAGGUUAUCAGGUCCAACCAGAUCUGUAUGACAUUCUCUUAAGAUUUCGUCUUUUCCCCCUCGCACUCACCGCUGACAUACGUCAAAUGUUUAGGCAAAUCAAAACAGACCCCACACAAAAUUUUUUGCAGAACAUACUUUGGCGCAACUCCCCUUCAGAUCAACUGGAAUGUCUUGAACUCUUAACCGUGUCAUUUGGUCAAACUUUUGCUCCCUACUUAUCUUGUCGAGUUUUAAAGGACAUCGCACAGAAAAACACUAAUCUCCCUCUUGCUUCUCAUGCGCUCCUCUACCAAACGUAUGUUGACGAUAUUUUGUGUGGAGCGCACUCUCUCUCUGAAUUAGAAAUUUUGUACACUCAGUUAAACUCCGCCCUCGCUAACUCUGGUUUUCAAUUACACAAAUGGUGCAGCAAUUCAAUAGAGAUGUUGCAAAAAAUCUCUCACUCUGACCCCCAAGAAAAAGAUUUAAAUUUAGAUGACUUACCCUGCAAAGUUUUAGGCAUCAAAUGGAACCCCGCUACCGAUGAAUUUAAAAUCUCUGUCCCCACUGCUCUAGAAGUCACUCCUCUCACGAAAAGAAAAGUUUUGUCGAUAAUUAGCUCCUCAUAUGAUCCCCUAGGUCUAGUAAAUCCAGUCAUAGUAAAUGGAAAAAUCCUUAUGCAGAAACUUUGGCUGCAAAAAAUUGAUUGGGACACUCCCAUCUGUGACUCCGCUAUUCUUGAAUAUUGGCAAGAUUUUGUGUCAAAUCUCCUCCAGUUAAAAAAUCUCGUCAUCCCUAGACAAUUGCAAGUUAGUAAAGAUGUCUCUCGUAUUGAAAUUCAUGGAUUCGCUGACAGCAGCUCAUCAGCGUAUGGGUGUGCUUUGUAUCUCAGAGUUAAAUACUCAGAUAAUAGUAUUUCAUGUAACUUAAUUUCCAGUAAAAGUCGUGUAUGCCCUCUCAAGAAAAUAAUCACUAUCCCCAAACUAGAGUUAUGUGCCAUGUUGCUCCUCGCGAAGUUGACUACAAAAAUUUUAAGUAUAUUUGAAAAUGAUCUCCGCCCUCACUCAGUAAAUUUGUGGACUGAUUCCACUAUUGCUUUACAUUGGAUAAAUUCUCACCCAAGUAGAUGGAACACGUUUGUAGCUAAUCGUGUCAGUCAAAUACAGAGUCAGUGUGAAACGUUCCAGUGGCGGCACGUUUCAUCCCCAGAUAAUGCAGCCGACAUGCUGUCUAGAGGCUCAUUUCAACCUAGUAAUUUUGAAAUUUGGUUCCAUGGCCCAGAAUUCAUACGAAACCCAGACUUUGAAACGCCGCAAGUAAAUAACCUACCCCCACCCUCUCUCAAAUUACCCGAAGAAAAGAAAGUUGUUCUUACGACUCUUGUUCAGCCUGAAAAUUUUUGGCUAUCUCUAUUCUCUCGUUUUUCUAAGUUUUCCACCAUUCAACGUACAGUGGGGUACGUAUUAAGAUUCACUCAAGUACUGAAAAAUAAAAAGAAAAAUUCUGAACCGCUCUCCACCUCUGAACUCUCUCAAGCGCAUGAUCGCAUAGUGAAAGCCAUACAAUCGCAUUAUUUUGCAAAAGAAAUUGCAGAAAUCUCCGCAAAUCGCCCCUUGUCAAAUAAGCAGUUAUUAAGUUUGAAUCCCUUUCUCGACUCUUCUAAUUUCCUCCGCGUAGGCGGCAGGCUCGCUAACGCUGAGAUACCCUUCGAUCAAAAAUUUCCGCUAUUGCUCCCCUCCAAAGCUCACGUUGUCACACUCAUGAUCAAAAAAGAACACAUUCGUUUGCGGCAUGCAGGACCGCAAAAUACACUCUCAAAUCUCCGACUCAGAUAUUGGCCACUCAAUGCUCUUAGAGAAAUUAAACGCAUUAUCCAUUCUUGUACUAUUUGUCACAGAUUCAACGCAAAAGUAGCUGAACAGAUUAUGUCAGAUCUCCCCAAAGAAAGGAUUUGUGCAUCCCGCCCAUUUUUCAAAGUAGGUGUCGACUUUGGAGGACCCUACCUCGUAAAAUCUUCAAAAUUGAGAAAAGCCCCAGUAACGAAAUGUUACAUCGCAGUUUUUGUCUGCAUGGUCACGAAAGCGGUACAUGUAGAACUUAUCUCCAAUCUCACCACAGAGGCAUUCUUAGCGACUCUCAAAAGAUUCAUAGCUCGUAGAGGUAACCCUUCCAAAAUAUUUAGCGAUAAUGGUUCGAACUUUCAAGGGGCAAGAAAUCAACUGAAAGAACUCUAUGACUUUUUCAAAACCCAAAGUAAUUAUGACACAAUUAGAGAAUAUUUAUCACAGAAUGAAACGCAAUGGCAGUUCAUUCCCCCUAGGGCUCCUCACUUCGGUGGGCUUUGGGAAGCUUCCAUCAAAAGUGUAAAAUACCAUUUACAAAGAAUCCUAGGUAACUCUAGUUAUACCUUUGAAGAACUCUACACAAUAUUAGCACAGGUUGAAGCAAUAUUGAACUCUAGACCUCUAUCUCCAAUAUCAAAUGACGCCUCCGACUUGCAGCCACUCACACCUGGGCACUUCCUCAUUGGUGGUCCAGUAACCGCGUAUCCCGACAAAGAUAUUUCAGAACAAUUAGACAAUAAACUCACAUCUUGGCAAAGGUGCACUAAGGCACAGCAAAUAUUCUGGAAAAGGUGGACAAAAGAUUAUCUUAACAGGUUGCAGCAACGCCCAAAGUGGUUACGCCCACAAACAGAUCUGAAAGUAGAUCAAGUUGUUUUAAUAAAAAAUGAAGACACGCCUCCAUUAAAGUGGCCUCUAGCUAGGGUAUUAGAGGUAAUACCAGGGAAAGACGGUAAGGUUAGAGUCGUACGUCUUAAAACGACAAAUGGUGAAUAUACCAGGUCCAUCACAAAAGUUUGCCCCCUCCCUUCAGAUGACAUGGUCGCCUCAUCAAAUUAAACCAGCUGCGUUAUAUAUAUAUGCAUAUAUGUAAAAUUGUUAGGUAUCGUGUUGUCGUUUGUCGCGUAGUGUAGUCUUCUCCGCCUUGUAUAUGGAUAGCCGCUUUUCCGGUGGUGGCAGAAUGUUCAAAUUGCAUUUAAACUGUGCACAGCGAGAAAAAAUAACUCCCCACGCCGCUGAUGGAACACAGAUAAAUAGUUGUGGCCCGAGCCACUGAUUCCCAAAACUUGAGCUCAGCUGUUGCUGUUGCUAUGCCAAAACAACACAUUUCUUGUAGUUUUCCCCUUCGCCCCCUCGAACCACCGGUAGUUCAGUUCUUUUUAGUAAGUCACCAGUAGCAAAUUAGACACCGUUUCAGUAUGUACCUAGUGUAGCGCCGAUCGUUUUAGGCACUAUUGGCUCGCGUAAGCUAUGAUGCCAACUCUCUCAAGGGCUCUGUACCUACAAACAAUUUAUUAUAUUUAGUAUCUCUGUUGUCAAAAAACAGUAAAGUGUAUGAAAGUGCAGUGCCCCACUCUAGUGUAAAUAGAAGAGUAUGUGCAAGAUUCUGACGCCUAGCCACAACGAAUUUGUUGCUAACACUCUCUCUCAUGUUCAAACGCACUACCGGAUCAGUAUAAAGAAUUAAUGACUAUAAAUGCAGAACUAAUAAAUGGUUAUAAUAUCAGAUUGCAAAAUUAUAAUGAAGGUGUUGAAACCAUGAAAACACUUAAUUCGAUUAUACAGAAGGCUUCAAGACUAAG